ensembl:lncRNA
AAACAAGAAGGUCCUAAACCAAAGGACUACCAGCAACCAACAUCUGUGUGAAGACAAUCAAAAGACCAGCUGAUACUUUCCUUAAUUUUUGUCACAAAGCUCGAUGGUUUGACUGAACCUGUGUCAUGAAGAAAGGUCAACACAUAAGUGAAGAUGAACCCUUAUGUCACUUCGCACUUCAGGAGGGAUCUCUUUCCCCAUUUCCAUUUGUUGUAGAUGUUUCUUGCCCUGCUGUUACUAUCUGAAUGAAAUGGGUUCUUCUAUAUUUGUACAGUUAGAGCCGUAGCUCGUCAGUUUCUUCAGUUCCCUUUGUACUCCCCGCGGUUCAGCGGUUGAGGGUUUCUUUCUGUCUUCUCUUCCAAAGAGGAUGCUUUGUAUACUUGACAGAACAGUUAAGGUCUCUGGAAAUGGUUUGGAAAGGUAGCCUUUUGGGAUCAGAUUCACCCAGAGAUGAUGAGUAAGAAACUAAAACCCACAAACUGAGUUACACUCUCAGCCACUUUAGCUCUGAGACCUUCUCAGCUCUUCUCCUUCUGUGGCAUAAACCUGAUGUAUCUGCAUUGGAGACGGACCUCCAGAAAAAUAUAGAAAACGUUCUCAGGCAGGUGAUUUGUCAGCCGUAAUGCUGAACUGUAACAAGGUAUGUCUGGUCUGAGGAACUGUUGCGGGCUACUGCUAACAGCCAUGUAGUUCAGGUCAAUAUUGGUCACUUACUAAAACAAGCCUACAAUAAAUUUGACGAUGGUCAUCAAACAGAUAUGCAGACCCUUAAAAAAGAAAUGGCAAAUUGUUGAGGCAUUGGCAUGAUGCAACAGGAAAUGGCAAACAAAACAUUCUUUCAGUUGGGACCCUCUUUUGGGGCAAAGGUGACCACUGCAACUCAACCAAUAUUGGCAGUGAAUUUUUCAUGAGCAAUGACGACGGCAGGCGUGAUGUUCUGAAAGAACUGUUUUCUGUGUUUCUUCAUGUCCGUACCAAGGGGUUGUGAAACUGGAAAGAACUUUGAGCGUAAGAAUUUGCAUGUUUUUUGUUUUUUUUUAGUGCAUGUUGGAAAUGAUUUAUCAUAUCGUCCUCAAGUUAAUUUUGAGCAUUUGUCUGUCUUGGAUGCAUCUUGUCGUUAUAUUAUAGUAGAUAUCCGUUAACAAGCUGUAUAUCCUUUACAUGUGUCCUUCUUCUCCAUUGCAUUAUCAGUUUAUAGUUUGUAUCUAUAGAUCCAUGCUCAAGUCUUCCCUUUGAUAGUUUUGAACUAAACACAACCAACAUUGCAUGCUUCCAUGUCGUCUGUUGUCAGACUACUCCUUGUCGAAAUCAUUUUUCCAAACUUGGAGUCACAGAAAUGGACUCCUGCUGCUGACAUCAUUCUUUUCAGCUCAACUUCCUCAGUGAGAAUAACUUAAG